AAUGAACGCUGGCGGCAUGCCUAACACAUGCAAGUCGAACGAAGGCUUCGGCCUUAGUGGCGCCCGGGUGCGUAACGCGUGGGAAUCUGCCCUCAGGUUCGGAAUAACAGCGAGAAAUUGCUGCUAAUACCGGAUGAUAUCGCGAGAUCAAAGAUUUAUCGCCUGAGGAUGUGCCCGCGUAGGAUUAGCUAGUUGGUGUGGUAAAGGCGCACCAAGGCGACGAUCCUUAGCUGGUCUGAGAGGAUGAUCGGCCACACUGGGGCUGAGACACGGCCCAGACUCCAACGGGAGGCAGCAGUGGGGAAUAUUGGACAAUGGGCGAAAGCCUGAUCCAGCAAUGCCGCGUGAGUGAUGAAGGCCUUAGGGUUGUAAAGCUCUUUUACCCGGGAUGAUAAUGACAGUACCGGGAGAAUAAGCUCCGGCUAACUCCGUGCCAGCCGCCGCCGUAA
rnacentral:rRNA from 1 species